rnacentral:rRNA from 1 species
CUCCGGUUGAUCCUGCCAGACCUGACUGCUAUCGGAUUGAUACUAAGCCAUGUGAGUCUUUGCAGUAAUGCAAGGCAGACGGCUCAGUAACACGUAGUCAAUCUAACCUAUGGACAGGGAUAAUCUCGGGAAACUGAGCAUAAUACCUGAUAGAUCAUUAUGCCUGGAACGGUUAAUGGUUGAAAUGAAUUUCGCCAUAGGAUGGGACUGCGGCCUAUCAGCUUGUUGGUGAGGUAAUGGCCCACCAAGGCUAUUACAGGUACGGGCUCUGAGAGGAGAAGCCCGGAGAUGGGUACUGAGACACGGACCCAGGUCCUAUGGGGCGCAGCAGGCGAGAAAACUUUGCAAUGUGCGAAAGCACGACAAGGUUAAUCCGAGUGUUUCCUGCUAAAGGAAUCUUUUGUUAGUCGUAAAACCACUAUUGAAUAAGGGGUGGGCAAGUUCUGGUGUCAGCCGCCGCGGUAAAACCAGCACCUCAAGUGGUCAGGAGGUUUAUUGGGCCUAGAGCAUCCGUAGCCGGCUCUGUUAGUUUUCGGUUAAAUCUGUACGCUCAACAUACAGGCUGUCGGGAAUACUGCAGAGCUAGGGAGUGGGAGAGGUAGACGGUACUCGGUAGGAAGGGGUAAAAUCCUUUGAUCUAUUGAUGACCACCUGUGGCGAAGGCGGUCUACCAGAACACGUCCGACGGUGAGGGAUGAAAGCUGGGGGAGCAAACCGGAUUAGAUACCCGGGUAGUCCCAGCUGUAAACUAUGCAAACUCAGUGAUGCAUUGGCUUGUGGCCAAUGCAGUGCUGCAGGGAAGCCGUUAAGUUUGCCGCCUGGGAGGUACGUACGCAAGUAUGAAACUUAAAGGAAUUGGCGGGGGAGCACCACAAGGGGUGAAGCCUGCGGUUCAAUUGGAGUCAACGCCGGA